rnacentral:rRNA from 1 species
GACGAACGCUGGCGGCGUGCCUAAUACAUGCAAGUUGAGCGCUGAAGGUUGGUACUUGUACCAACUGGAUGAGCAGCGAACGGGUGAGUAACGCGUGGGGAAUCUGCCUUUGAGCGGGGGACAACAUUUGGAAACGAAUGCUAAUACCGCAUAAAAACUUUAAACACAAGUUUUAAGUUUGAAAGAUGCAAUUGCUUCACUCAAAGAUGAUCCCGCGUUGUAUUAGCUAGUUGGUGAGGUAAAGGCUCACCAAGGCGAUGAUACAUAGCCGACCUGAGAGGGUGAUCGGCCACAUUGGGACUGAGACACGGCCCAAACUCCUACGGGAGGCAGCAGUAGGGAAUCUUCGGAAAUGGACGAAAGUCUGACCGAGCAACGCCGCGUGAGUGAAGAAGGUUUUCGGAUCGUAAAACUCUGUUGGUAGAGAAGAACGUUGGUGAGAGUGGAAAGCUCAUCAAGUGACGGUAACUACCCAGAAAGGGACGGCUAACUACGUG